GAGCAAUAGUUUGGAUCCUAUUAAGCCUCAGCUUUGCUUAUAUGCUGGCUCUUUUCCAGGAGCUCAAGAUGGAUUCCACAGAGAAUUCCUUUCAUUUGUGAGAUCUUCAUUAUACAAGGACACCCUCAGUGGAACAUACUGGCAGUUAAGAAAAAUCAGAAUGAAAGGACAUCUCAUGGGACAUCUGUCAAAACAACUCUAUUAUUUUCCUUCUGUGUCUGUAAUGAACUCAUAAAUGUCUUGAUACAGAUAUGCAGUAUAUCAAUAUAUUCAUAUAUACAUGAAUGAAUCUCUUUAGCAUGUAAGAUUCUGUUUUAAAAGGCCAUCCAUUUAAAUGACAUACAUUUAGAUAGAUCGGUAG